UACGGAGGGUGCAAGCGUUAUCCGGAUUCAUUGGGCGUAAAGAGCUCGUAGGCGGCUCAGUAAGUCGGGUGUGAAACCCUCAGGCUCAACCUGGGGACGCCACUCGAUACUGCUGUGGCUAGAGUCCAGUAGAGGAGUGUGGAAUUCCCGGUGUAGCGGCGAAAUGCGCAGAUAUCGGGAGGAACACCGGUGGCGAAGGCGGGUCUCUGGGCCGGUACUGACGCUGAGACGCGAAAGCGUGGGGAGCGAACAGG
rnacentral:rRNA from 1 species